CUGCAAUCUUAUUUCAAGGGCUUCUGGAUGUGGUGGACUAAGUCUAAGACUAGGGGGUCCAGAGAAGACCCCAUCCUUAGUAACCCUUGUCAAUAGGGAGACUUCUCACGGAAUCUGCUCUUUGGGUUUGACCCUCUGUCUUCAUGUUCAUGCCUCAUUCAUCUUUGUUAGGUUUUGAAGGGAAGGUGAGGGUUAAAGAGUUGGCAGCUUAACAGCAACACAGGUUUAUUGCCAGCACAAACCUGUGGAGGGGGGACCAGCUUAGUCUCAGAGCACGAGUCCCACUUACAGACUGGGACAUUUACUAUAAGGAAGAGGAAAGCAACACGAAGGGUGGCUGGGCAGUCAACAAGGACAGGUUUAUUUUAGAAAAUAAACUUGAGAGGGGCUUCUGGCCGAGUUAGCUCAGACUAACUUCUGUUACAGACUAAGGAUAUUUAAGGGUUUUGGAAGGGGUCUUAUCGUAGGUUCCGAAUGUUUCUGUGUGAGGGAAAGUUUAUUGCGGGGUUGGAAUGUCUCUGGUCGGAAGGGAGGCUGUCUCGGGGUUGGCAUGUUUCUGGUCAGAGGGGUUUAUCUUAGGGUUGGAAUAUUUCUGGUUAUGCUGACAUUAGCCAUUAGGCUGAUGUUUUGGGGCUGGAUUUAGGCGGCUUUUAAUGAAGGGGGAACUUAGAAUGGUGGUAUUUGUUCAAGAUGGCAGUGCUCCUGCUCUGUCAGUUAUGGGUCUGGACCGGGGGAGAAGGGGCAGUAUAGCUUGCUCCCCUGCAGGAUGUUGAAGAUGUUCCUUGGGCCCUUCAUCCAGCAGGAUGUAAUAGAGAUGUUCCUGUGGUUAGGUGGUUAGGCAGUAUUUUUUUAUGACCUGAACCCCCAUGGAAUGUUUUAUUCUGACCAGGUUCUGUGAAAUGUUGGGAGACAUCUGCGGCCAUACUGUAAGGCUCUUGUGUUGGUUCGAACCCCGAGAGCUUGCCAGCAAAGAACACAAGGCAGUGUGGAGCAACACGCUGUUUUAAUGAGCACCUGGGUGCAGAUGGGCUGAGGCCUAAAAUGGCGUCAGCCCCAGGUGAGGACGGGGCAGGGGUUUUAUAGUCUCCUGUAAACAGGAAGUGUCCCAGUCUGAUGUAACUGCUACAUGGUACCCAGAUGGCCUCUCUCUUGAUCUUCAGGGGUACGUGUCUCCUGGCCAGCUCUCUUCCUGCUUCUGCUAUCUUGCUGACACACGCUGCUAGCACAAGUGGUCUUGUGCCUUGGGACUGGGCCUGAGAAGGGAGGAGUUAUUCAUCCCCCCAAACUUUCAGGCCCCGGGGAGAAUCUUUCACAUACCACCCUGAACACGCCCAAUCUCGUCUGAUCUCAGAAGCUAAGCAGGGUCUGGCCUGGUUAGUACUUGGAUGGGAAAUGAUCACAGGGAGGCUUACAAAAUGGUAUAGGAUAUCUUGUGGUUUAAGCCCAUUCCCUCCGGGAAGACCUUGUUGGUUUUCUCCCUACAGAACCUGCUGUGUACAAAAUGGUGUAGGAUAUCUUGGGGUUUAAGCCCAUUCCCUGAACCUGCUAUGACAUUAACUGAACAGCUCCUGGGGGUGCAUCCCAAUAGGGAAGUUAUUGAGCUCCCAAUGUUUUCGUGAAGCUGCUUUGUCAACUGUGAAAUAAUUAUUGCCCUGCCCACUCCUGGGGUUGUUAGAGACCCAGUGAGAUACUAAAAGUGUGUUUAAAGCAUGUAGGGUCUGCAAAUGCAAUAAAGUGUGGUCAGAAAGCCCAACUCACGUGGCUUUGGGGGCCACUGGUGAGAGAAGAGACUGGAGGCAGCCUGUUGUGGUCAGAGCCUCCUGCUAUUGUCAAUUUCUCCUCACUGUCCCCUUUACCAGGAAGGCAGUGUCAGUUUGAUCAGCUGCCAGUCUGUUUGCCCUCAUUCCCCCUGGCCCUGCCCUGAGUCCAGCGACCUGGAUUUGAAACCUGCAUCUGUCACUUACUAGCUGAGGGAUCUUGGGCAAGACAUUUCAGCCCUUUUCUGCUUAAAUAGAGUUAAGACAGCCUAUGAAUGAAACUAUAUAAACCAAGGCAUUUCUGACUCCAGUAGGAGGCAGCUGCUGUGAGGGAGAAGCCCUGGCCAGGAAUCUGUUAUAGUUAUUUUGUCACCAACUGGAAUGGCCUUGGGACAAAGCACAACAGCUGUCUUGACCUCAUCAAUAGCCUUGACCUCAUCCCUCGUGUCAUGCUGUGUCAUCUUCAACAUCUGUCACUUCCAUCAGCCUUAGCAUUGGCCUUGGCCUCAGUUUCCUCAUGUGUGACUUGAGGAUGAUGAUUCUUAUAGGAAUCAAUAAGCUUGGGAUAAAGAAGCUAUUGGGUCACAUUAUACAUACUUUAAAUGCAUUAAGUGGGGUCUGCAGUUCCUAGAGAUUAGCAGAUUGCAUUGCGUGAGAACAGAGCCAUAGAGAAUGUUUGAGGUCCCAUUAAUAGCUGAUAGGAGGCUGAUCAGUAAACACUGGGAGGGGAGGAUUGACUCUUGGGUGAAGAGUUGGAGGAGGGUGGAGGAUUGAGUCUUGGGUGAAGAGUUGGAGGGUGGAGGAUUGAGUCUUGGGUGAAGAGUUGGAGGGUGGAGGAUUGAGUGUUGGGUGAAUUGAGUCUUGGAUGAAGAGUUGGAGGGUGGAGGAUUGAGUCUUGGGUGAAGAGUUGAUUGGAAAACAAAGCUGAACAGAAAACCAGGGCAUCAUCAACACUGAUGAGUAAUUUUUUUUCUCUAUAAAAUGAUUAUUUAGAUUAAGAAAAGGAAUGACAAAUUUUGAAAAGCCGACAAACACCACAAACUCCAGAAAAAAAAGAAUCCUGACAUUUUUACUAAGUGACAGACACACCUUCGCCUUUAAAACACUCUGUCCCCCCCAUAUUUCUUGGCUGCAGACUCUUUGAUCACAUUUUCGUGUGACAGUGAUUUUGUAAUAUUUUCUAUGGGGAGAAUAGAAAGAUAAUUCCGUCUCUCCUUUGGCAGUAGGCAUGUCCCUGUGAGGGAGGAGAUCAGCAGGAUUUUUCCAAGCACCUGUCAAAACCCUGCUGAUCAAAACAGAACAUAACAAUAACAAAGAAUGGCCAAAACCAGCUCGGAAUAGGAAUUAAAAUGCAUUUGCAUAAGAUACUCCCACCAGGGCCAUGACAGUUUACAAAUGAUCCCACGGCAAUAACCCAGGAAUUAUCUUAUAUGGUUCCAGGAACUUCCUGUUCCUAGUUUAUGAAUAACCUGCCUCUUAUUUAGCAUAUAAUUAGCAGGGGGUAUAAAUAUAGCUAGCCAGCAAUCCUGGAGUGCUAUUCUACCUGUGGGGUAGCCCUGCUCUGUCUGUGGAGCAGCCAUUUUGCUGUACAAUGUUGCUUUAAUAAACUUGCUUUGCUUUCAGUUUUGUCUGUUAGCUCACUCUUGAAUUCCUUCCUGAGCAAAGCCAAAAACCCUCCCCGGCUGAGUCCCGAUACGGGGAUUUGCUUACAUCAGCCAGAAGUAAUUUAUGCACAAAGAUAACUAUAGCAAUUUUUAGUAGAUACAGAAGUGACUUCAAAGCCCAGAAAUGUGUCCCACUAAACUCAUACAAAAUGAUCCCCAAUUUUACCUUCUCCCUUAGCCAUAUCCAAAAUAGCCACAGCCAUUCCAACAGGACAGACGCGUGACAGAGGGAGAAUAUGAACUGAAAAGAGACACUAGGCCUCAACCAACUUGUAAAAAUGUCUUCUACAUAUUUUCCAAAAGCACAUGACAAAAGCAUUGAUAGGGCUCCUCCCAAGGCAAAGAGGGCCCCUGAGGGUUAAGCUUAAUGUUGUCUCUGAAGCCACCUCUGCUCUGAAUAAUCGCAGCUGCACCGGUUGCAGCUCGCUCUUCCCCCAACAUGUCCCACCUCACCCUCUCAAC
rnacentral:lncRNA from 10 species